rnacentral:rRNA from 1 species
GAUGAACGCUGGCGGCGUGCCUAAUACAUGCAAGUCGAGCGAACAGACGAGGAGCUUGCUCCUCUGACGUUAGCGGCGGACGGGUGAGUAACACGUGGAUAACCUACCUAUAAGACUGGGAUAACUUCGGGAAACCGGAGCUAAUACCGGAUAAUAUAUUGAACCGCAUGGUUCAAUAGUGAAAGACGGUUUUGCUGUCACUUAUAGAUGGAUCCGCGCCGCAUUAGCUAGUUGGUAAGGUAACGGCUUACCAAGGCAACGAUGCGUAGCCGACCUGAGAGGGUGAUCGCCCACACUGGAACUGAGACACGGUCCAGACUCCUACGGGAGGCAGCAGUAGGGAAUCUUCCGCAAUGGGCGAAAGCCUAACGGAGCAACGCCGCGUGAGUGAUGAAGGUCUUCGGAUCGUAAAACUCUGUUAUUAGGGAAGAACAAAUGUGUAGUAACUAUGCACGUCUUGACGGUACCUAAUCAGAAAGCCACGGCUAACUACGUG